rnacentral:rRNA from 1 species
UACGGGGGGGGCAAGCGUUGUUCGGAAUUACUGGGCGUAAAGGGCUCGUAGGUGGCCAACUAAGUCAGACGUGAAAUCCCUCGGCUUAACCGGGGAACUGCGUCUGAUACUGGAUGGCUAGAGUUUGGGAGAGGGACGCGGAAUUCCAGGUGUAGCGGUGAAAUGCGUAGAUAUCUGGAGGAACACCGGUGGCGAAGGCGGCAUCCUGGACCAACACUGACGCUGAGGAGCGAAGGCCAGGGGAGCAAACGGG